rnacentral:rRNA from 1 species
UACAGAGGUCUCAAGCGUUGUUCGGAAUCACUGGGCGUAAAGCGUGCGUAGGCUGUUUCGUAAGUCGUGUGUGAAAGGCGCGGGCUCAACCCGCGGACGGCACAUGAUACUGCGAGACUAGAGUAAUGGAGGGGGAACCGGAAUUCUCGGUGUAGCAGUGAAAUGCGUAGAUAUCGAGAGGAACACUCGUGGCGAAGGCAGCAUACCGGUGCACAACUGACGCUCAGGCACGAAAGCGUGGGUAUCGAACAGG